rnacentral:pre_miRNA from 1 species
UUCUCCAUCCAGUCCUUUUUAUAAGAAACAAGCACUAAAACUUUGUUUCUUAUAAAAAGGACCGGAUGUAGUA